AGUGAACGCUGGCGGUAGGCCUAACACAUGCAAGUCGAACGGCAGCACAGUAAGAGCUUCCUCUUACUGGUGGCGGGUGGCGGACGGGUUAGGAAUACAUCGGAAUCUAGUGUUUCAUUGGUGGAAAGGUAGGGAAAUUCACCAUACGACCUAUGACUGCCAACGGGGGACAGCAGGGCAUCUCCGGACUUGAGCGGCUGAAGUCAGCCGAUGUCGGUUUAGGUAGUAGGCGGGGUAAAGGCCCACCAAGGCGACGAUCCGUAGCUGGUCUGAGAGGAUGAUCAGCCACACUGGAACUGAGACACGGCCCAGACUCCUACGGGAGGCAGCAGUGGGGAAUAUUGGACAAUGGGCGCAAGCCUGAUCCAGCAAUACCGCGUGCGUGAAGAAGGCCUUCGGGUUGUAAAGCCCUUUUGUUGGGAAAGAAAAGCAGCAGGUUAAUACCCCGCUGUUAUGACGGUACCCAAAGAAUAAGCACCGGCUAACUUCGUG
rnacentral:rRNA from 1 species